CCAUCCCGAACUCGGUAGUUAAGACCUCCUGGGCCAAUGGUACUGCACGGGACUCUGUGUGGGAGAGUAGGUCGCUGCCAGGA
rnacentral:rRNA from 1 species